AAAGAUGGGUUGUCACUCGUCAAUCAUAAUUUGCAGGGUUAAAGUGCUAAUUAUUCCUGGCUCUGCGCCCAGACUUCUCUGAAUCUUUGCAGGCUAGGCUGUUUGUUUCCUUUUAGUCUUGUAGGUUUACUGCUUUGUUGCCUCUGUUGUCGACCUUGUUUCCUUGCAAUUUCUCAGUAAUUUGGGGCUCUACUCUUGUUGUCCUUAGGUUUAGCACAUUAAACCGGUUUGUUAAUGCAGAUUGUUGUAAGGGGAUCUUCUUCAUUGCAGGAAUAAGGGGAUCUUCUUCAUUGCAAUUGAUGUAAACAAGCCACUUUCAGAUCAAGGACCCUUUGAUGUUGUUUUGCAUAAGGUAAGUGUACCAGAGAAGUGGGGCUACUCUGUUGAUUGGAAGAAAGUACUAGUCUUCUUCUUUGGAACCCAAUAAAUGUAAGUACUUAAUAGUUAAUAGAUCCGCACGUUUUUCUUUUAACUAGUUUUUCUU